rnacentral:sRNA from 1 species
GAUAGUUUAAAAUGUUGGUUUUAACGUUCUACAAAUUGCUACUUGUCCUUGCAUUUGCCUGGGUGCCAAGGAAAAAUUCUCCUGGGUCAAUUUAUUCCGAUAGCAGAGAGCUCAGUGAAGCUUUGUUAAAGACAAGCACCGGCUAACU